CAAUAGCGUGUGUUAAAGUUGUUGCAGUUAAAAAGCUCGUAGUUGGAUUUCUGGUGGGAGCGAUCGGUCUGGCGCUUAGCGCGAGUACUUGCAUCGUCUCCGGCCAUCCUUGGGGAGAGUCUGUCUGGCAUUAGGUUGUCGGGCAGAGGAUCCUCAUCGUUUACUGUGAAAAAAUUAGAGUGUUCAAAGCAGGCUUAUGCCGUUGAAUACAUUAGCAUGGAAUAAUAAGAUAGGACUUUGGCACUAUUUUGUUGGUUUGCGCACCAAAGUAAUGAUUAAUAGGGACAGUUGGGGGUAUUCGUAUUCCGUUGUCAGAGGUGAAAUUCUUGGAUUUACGGAAGACGAACUACUGCGAAAGCAUUUACCAAGGAUGUUUNCAUUAA
rnacentral:rRNA from 1 species